AACCAUGGAAUGAUUGGAUAGGUUGGGAUGGAAGGGACUUUAAAGAUCCUAGAGCAAUAGAAUGGUUGGGUUGGGAGAGUUCUUAAAAAUAAUAGGGUCGUGAAAUCCUAGAAUAAUUGAGUUGGAAGAGUCCUUGAAGGUCAGAGAACCACGGAAUCACAGCAGAGUUGAGUUGGACUCGUCCUUAAAGAUCGUGGAACCGUGGAAUGGUAGAGUGGUUGAGUUGGAAGGGUUUUUAAAGAUGGUAUCACAGCGUGGUUGGGUUGGAAUUGUCCUUAAAGGUCACAGAACCAAGGAACGGUUGAAUGGUUGGGUUGGAAGGGUCCUUGAAGGUCAUAGAACUAUGGAAUCACAGCAUGGUUGGGUUGGAAGGGUCCUUGAAGGUCAUAGAACUAUGGAAUCACAGCAUGGUUGGGUUGGAAGGGUCCUUAAAGGUCAUAGAACUAUGGAAUCACAGCAUGGUUGGGUUGGAAGGGUCCUUAAAGGUCAUAGAACUAUGGAAUCACAGCAUGGUUGGGUUGGAAGGGUCCUUAAAGGUCAUAGAACUAUGGAAUCACAGCAUGGUUGGGUUGGAAGGGUCCUUGAAGGUCAUAGAACUAUGGAAUCACAGCAUGGUUGGGUUGGAAAGGUCCUUAAAGGUCAACAACUCCAAGUUCUUUUCCUGAAGGAAAAAGUAGCCCGUUAAAACACGACCCAAAACAAAUUGCUGCCAGUGUCAGCUUUCUGCCUGGUAAAAGUGGGUGUGCACAGGUGUCCCCAGAUGUCCAGGAAUGGGGACAGGAGCUCCAGCUGGGCUGUGUCCCCACACAGCUGAUAAUGUGGGCUCCUCUUGGUGUUUCGGGGUCUUUUAGGGCAUCCUGGGCACUCGCAAAGCAAUGAAGGGUUUGGGGGCUCGGUUUCUUUGUGUUUUUUUCCAUGUCGAUGGGGCUUUGGUUCUUCCACCCUGCCUGGAGGUGGACGGGGACAUUGCAGCUGUGCCUUAUCCUAGCCCUCGUCCCACAGAGUGGAAACAAUCCCACGCUCAGUGAUACGCUGAAGUGUUUAAAAUACCAAUAAAAACCCAUUUUGAAGCAUUUUGUUGGUUUAAGCUCUGCUGGGCUCUAACACAGUGUCCCAGAAUCCCAGAACCAGCAGAGUUGGAAGAGACUUGUGGAGAGCAGAGGACAUCAUUGGCCUUCUUGGCUAUGAGAGCACUCUGUUGGCCACUGUUGGCUUUCAUGGCUGUGAGGGAGCCCUGUUGGCCACCGUUGGCCUUUUUGGCAAUGCUCUCAGUCCAUGGUCACCCUGUUGGCCACCGUUGGCCUUUUUGGCAAUGCUCUCAGUCCAUGGUCACCCUGUUGGCCACCGUUGGCCUUUUUGGCAAUGCUCUCAGUCCAUGGUCACCCUGUUGGCCACCAUUGGCCUUUUUGGCAAUGCUCUCAGUCCAUGGUCACCCUGUUGGCCACCAUUGGCCUUUUUGGCAA